UACAGAGGGUGCGAGCGUUGUCCGGAAUCACUGGGCGUAAAGGGCGCGUAGGCGGUGACUUAAGCGUGUGGUGAAAGCUCGGGGCUCAACCCCGAGUCGGCCGUGCGAACUGGGUCACUGGAGCAUGUCAGAGGCAGGCGGAAUUCCGGGUGUAGCGGUGGAAUGCGUAGAUAUCUGGAGGAACACCGGUGGCGAAGGCGGCAUCCUGGACCGAUACUGACGCUGAGGAGCGAAAGCCAGGGGAGCAAGCGGG
rnacentral:rRNA from 1 species